rnacentral:rRNA from 1 species
GACGAACGCUGGCGGCGUGCUUAACACAUGCAAGUCGAACGAAGUGGCGAACGGGUGAGUAACGCGUAAUCAACCUGCCCUUCAGAGGGGGCCAACAGUUGGAAACGACUGCUAAUACCGCAUACUGACGGCGGGGAUUGCGUCUGAUUAGCUAGUGGUAGGGGUAACGGCCCACCAGGGCGAUGAUCAGUAACCGGUCUGAGAGGAUGAACGGCCACACUGGGACUGAGCCACGGCCCAGACUCCUACGGGAGGAAGCAGUAGGGAAUCGUAGGCAAUGGACGAAAGGCUGACCGAGAAACGCCGCGUGAGUGAAGAAGGUUUUCGGAUCGUAAAACACUGUUGUUAGGGAAGCGGUAUCUAACCAGAAAGCCACGGCUAACUACGUGCCAGCAGCCGCGGUAAUAC